CGGAUCUACUAUUUUCUUUGCAUGUACCUGGGCAAAUGACUUGGAGUGCUCCAAUAUCUUCCUUUGGAGCAACUUAAUUCAUGUUUUCCUUGAAGUUCCACUGCACAUAACAGAAACUGAAAGCACCUUGCGUUUUCAGUGUUCGUGAAUGCUUAGCUUUGGAGCAUACAGAACAUCUCCCCCUGUUGAUCUUCCUGUGCAUCUUCUCUAGAGCGAAGUGGCUGACUCACCUCCUUUCACUCCAAUCCGCACCAAGGGUGAGAAGACUUCUCCGUGGCUAAGAAGCUCCCUUUCAUGCUGAUUGGGUGGCUCUCGGACCCUGGAGACUGGGAUCCUGAAGAGAACCUGCUGCAGAAAGAGUAAGCAGGUCUUAGAACCCCCAUGACCGCUACACCCCUGGCUCUCCCUCAUUCCUGCUACCUAUUCUUGACCUCUCCCCUUCUCUCCCCCCCCCCAUGAGUCACCCAUCAUUUUCUUUUCACAGAACACAAAGCAACUUCCAUCAGCCUGGUGUCCUCCUAGCUCUUAUACUGCUGUUCUCAGUGGCCUUCAUAGAAACCUGGAUUUCAAUCAGUUUGUCUUGUAAAACAGUGAAUGAUGGAG